rnacentral:rRNA from 1 species
GAUGAACGCUGGCGGCGUGCUUAACACAUGCAAGUCGAACGAAGCAUUUUGGAGUUUUCGGACAAAGAAUGACUGAGUGGCGGACGGGUGAGUAACGCGUGGGUAACCUGCCUUAUACAGGGGGAUAACAGUUAGAAAUGACUGCUAAUACCGCAUAACCCGCUAGUACCGCAUGGUACGGACGGAAAAGAUUUAUCGGUAUAAGAUGGACCCGCGUCUGAUUAGCUAGUUGGUGAGGUAAUGGCUCACCAAGGCAACGAUCAGUAGCCGGCUUGAGAGAGUGAACGGGCCACAUUGGGGACUGAGACACGGCCCAAACUCCUACGGGUGGCUG